UUGUCUCGGGCCAGAGAAUCCUUGAAAGACUACCACUGGGCUGCUCAGGGAGCGAUCAGUUUCCUCCAUAAUGCUGAAGCCACCUUCUUAACAGCUCCUGGAGGGUUUUCUGAUUGUACCGAGGAACAGAAACAAACUCAACAAGCUCUGGAAGCUCUGGAAGCUGGAUUUCAGGCUCACAUCAGUCACCUCUCAGGGCUGCUGCCUCAGCAAUCCUGCCUGUCCCGCCCAGACACCGAGGAGCUCCACAUCAGCAUCCUCAGUCAGCUGACAGUGGGAAGAGCCAUAAUGGAGGCCCAAGCUCAGAUCAGACUGGAAUCGCUGCAGAGGUACUGGCUUUCAUUGUGACGCAAUGGUUUCUGUUCCGUUUUCUCCCAAGUGAAAUUAAAGGUAACUUCUAACAGGUGCAAAAUGAGACAACGAGGCCACAAGAAGUGCCACGAGGCUCUGGGGCAGCUUCUGUCGGGGCUCCAAACCAAACUUUCAGAAUGGGCUGCAGAAAAAACCACAUCCUUCGAGAAAUGUGUCGGCCAACAGGAAGCAGCUAAGUUGCUGAUGGAAGAUCUCCGUAGCGUCUCCACCCAAAUCGAAGAACUGAGGGCCGGAUGUCCCAUGCAGGGCUGUGGAGUUGGAAAAGGUGGCGAACUGGGAGCCCUGUGGAGGCGCUGGCUGUGUUUGCGACGUGGCAUUGGCCUCCUGACGGCCCACGCACAACAGAGAGCAAACGAGUGGCGAGACAUUACCGCAAGUGUGAGUUUCACCAGAACUUACCCAGAGAUCCUCUCAGUACGCCCAUAUUGAUGAGCUUACCAUUCUGAUGCAUGGCUGUUGCAUUUUCUGUAGAUAAAGGAGUCACGUAGGUGUCUGAAUACGCUGCAGGCCGAUGUUCUCGACGCCUCCACUGUGAGUUUCACUAUGGUGGAUCCUCAGGAGCUUCUGGGUCGGGCUGAAAUGCACCAGGCAGCCCUGCAGGUGCAGCAGCAGGCCCUGGCCUCCCUGCAGCAUCGGAUGGAGCAAGUUCUCAUUUCCUCUACAUCUCAGGAGCCCCUCAGUCCCGGACCUGUGGGCAAAACCCUGGCGAUGAGCCGAGAGAGCGUCGUGAGGUGUGAAUUCUGUCGUAUAUUUCUGAAAUAACCCCUCUCUUAAGCCAAAGAUGCUGAAGGGCUCCUGCUCCCCACAGUUUAAAGGAGAGAAACCUGCUGGUGUUAGCUGCAGCCCAGGCAGAGGUGAGAGAGCGACAGGAGGUCAAAGACGAGAUAGGAGAGGUGGAGCAACAGGUGGCGGCCGUUCUUUCCUCACUGGGACAUCAGGUCAGGCUCCUCCGUUGCUGAGAAUGUCACUUUUCACCUUUUGGCAAAAUAGGGAUCCUUGCAGGUCUAACUGUGUUGAAAAUCCCCGUUUCUUUUCAAUUUCUGCAGGAAUUCAGAGAAGAGUUGUCGUCUCAGAGGGCCAAACUAGAGCGCAUCAGAGAGAGGGCGCAAAUCCGCUACCCUGUGAUACCGGCUGAUAUCUGCAGAAGACUAGACGAAGCUCAUCUGUCCAUUCAAAAGGAAGAGGAGAGGGUAACUGAUACCACCUUUCCUGUUGCUUAUACUUUUACGAUGCAUCAAACACAGGUAUAUUUUCUAUAGUCUGAGACUACCUCCAAAUAUUUUCCUUGUGCAGUAAUCUAGAUGAUUGGGACAACUGAAUGUUUGGGUAGCUCAUUAAUGUGUUUUCAUAAAGCUCACAGGGAAGAAAAACCCAGUUUGGAAGCUGGACACUCAAGUGGCUGAGCUGGAAUCUAGCCUGGAGACCGUGAAGGUGUUACUGGAGCAGCAGAGCCCAACAGUGGACGAAGCACAACAUCUACUCAAGGUGUCCCUUCGUCCGUGUGUCAUUCUGUACCCGAUAACGUUCUUCUCUUCAAUAACAGCUUCAUAUCGACAGAUCGUGCACAUCAGACCCUCUUUUUCUUGUUCCCCAGCAUGUGUGGGAUAAGCUGGAUGCUUGGCAUAGCCGCUUGAUGCUCCUGGAAAAUGAGGUGGAGGAUCUUGCAGAGGAUCACCCUGAUCAAGCCCACAUACUCGUGGACCAACUCACGCGGCCGCUGCAGCUCUACCAGAACGCAGCGCAGAUGGCCGAACAACGCACGGCCUUCCUGGGAAAGGUGAGGAAUUCUGGGGGCGUUUUCGCCCCGCAGGAUUAGAACAUAGGGCCAGUUAUUAUCAAAGCCGUUAUUUCUCUGGAGUGUGAUCUAAUUUUCCCACGCCAGAUCCCCGCCUGUCUUCAGGAGUUUGACGGUAUACUGUACAGUGCCACCUGCUGGUUGGAGGAGGCACAGUCAUGGCUCUAUGCCCCCUGCAGCUUCACAACAGCCAAAAACCUGCAGAACCACGCGAACUCCCUUCAGGUCUAGAACAAUAACCCACACACACACACACACACACAUUAUAGACACAAUCCUCGAAGCCAAACCAACCCAACUAACCUCCUUACCCUAACCUGAACAAGUCUUGACCCUCAAACUGUCCUUCGAGGUUGUGGAUCCUAUAAAAUGUCCCUUUGCUGAAUUGCUGACUUUGGUUUGGGAACUGGUCUGCAGCUGGUGCUGGAUGAUUCGGAGCGGAUCAGACUCGUCAUGCAGGACUUCAGGGCAGUCCUAGAUGACAUCUGCUCCGUGUGCAACAUGAGCUGGCAGAAGGACAGGCUGCAGCAGAGCGACCAGCAAGUCCACAAAAUGCAGCGUACCAUCCUGGAGCAGCUGGAGCUUUUUGUUCAGGCUGUUCAGGUAAAACAAUCAGCAUCGGGUUUCGGCCAUAGUUGGAUGUUUCGGGUAGAAACGACGCUGGCAAUGAAAAUAUUGACAUGUGACAUCUACGUUUUAGGAGGUGGAGGCCAUGGAAGAAGAGGUGAAGACCUUGGACAACAACGUUGCUAAGAUUCAAGCUAUUUUGUCGUCUGUUGACAACUCCAGCUUAAGUCUAAGGGAGCAACAGGUGAUUGUGUGCUGCUACUGAUCACUGAUUCAAAGCCUCCGAUACAGAUGGAACACCUAAGGGUCAGUUACAUUCUUCUCUUACAUGUUGAAGGUCAUUCUAACCAACAUGGCGUCCAUACGAAGGACGCUGGAGGAGGUGGAGAGCUGCAAAGGAGAACUUCACCUCCCUCAGGGAGCAGAGGAGAGCCUGCUGAUCUUCUCCAGAGCUCAACAGCUCCUGCAGACAGUCCAGGAGCUGGAGCAGCUCACCGAGCAACAGUCCAUGCAGCUGCAGGUACUUGUGCCUUUACGGGAAAACAUACAUGACAGGUGCACAAAAUAUCCAUCAGAUUUGAUUUGUAGGUGUGAAAAUGGGAUUU
rnacentral:lncRNA from 1 species